UACGUAGGUGGCAAGCGUUGUCCGGAAUUAUUGGGCGUAAAGCGCGCGCAGGUGGUUUCUUAAGUCUGAUGUGAAAGCCCACGGCUUAACCGUGGAGGGUCAUUGGAAACUGGGAGACUUGAGUGCAGAAGAGGAAAGUGGAAUUCCAAGUGUAGCGGUGAAAUGCGUAGAGAUUUGGAGGAACACCAGUGGCGAAGGCGACUUUCUGGUCUGCAACUGACGCUGAGGCGCGAAAGCAUGGGGAGCAAAC
rnacentral:rRNA from 1 species